rnacentral:SRP_RNA from 2 species
UAUUAUUGCCAUAUUAAUAAUAACGGCGAACCAUGUCAGGCUAGAAAUAGAGCAGCAUUAAGUUUGUUAUUAUGUAAUGUGGUUUUUAUUUUUUCU